UACGUAGGCAGCGAGCGUUGCUCGGAAUCACUGGGCGUAAAGCGCACGUAGGCGGACUCUUAAGUCGGUGGUGAAAUCCUGGAGCUCAACUCCAGAACUGCCUUCGAUACUGGGAGUCUCGAGUCCGGGAGAGGUGAGUGGAACUGCGAGUGUAGAGGUGAAAUUCGUAGAUAUUCGCAAGAACACCAGUGGCGAAGGCGGCUCACUGGCCCGGUACUGACGCUGAGGUGCGAAAGCGUGGGGAGCAAACAGG
rnacentral:rRNA from 1 species